AGAGUUUGAUCCUGGCUCAGAACGAACGCUGGCGGCGUGCUUAACACAUGCAAGUCGAACGCGAACGGUUUCUUCGGGAACCUAGUAGAGUGGCGCACGGGUGAGUAACGCGUAAGUUAUCUACCCUCCCAUCUGGAAUAACUCACCGAAAGGUGUGCUAAUACCGGAUACGUUGAUUUAUCAAGAAAGGAGGCCUCUAUUUAUAAGCUACCGUGGGGGGAUGAGCUUGCGUACCAUUAGCUAGUUGGUAGGGUAAUGGCCUACCAAGGCAACGAUGGUUAGCGGGUCUGAGAGGAUGAUCCGCCACACUGGAACUGGAACACGGACCAGACUCCUACGGGAGGCAGCAGUGAGGAAUAUUGCGCAAUGGGGGAAACCCUGACGCAGCGACGCCGCGUGGAUGAUGAAGGCCUUUGGGUCGUAAAAUCCUGUCAGAUGGAAAGAAAUGCUAUAAUGCUAAUAUCGUUAUA
rnacentral:rRNA from 1 species